ACGAACGCUGGCGGCGUGCUUAACACAUGCAAGUCGAACGGUGAAGCCUUUCGGGGUGGAUCAGUGGCGAACGGGUGAGUAACACGUGGGCAAUCUGCCCUGCACUCUGGGACAAGCCCUGGAAACGGGGUCUAAUACCGGAUAUGACCUGCUCUCGCAUGAGAUGCAGGUGGAAAGCUCCGGCGGUGCAGGAUGAGCCCGCGGCCUAUCAGCUUGUUGGUGGGGUGAUGGCCUACCAAGGCGACGACGGGUAGCCG
rnacentral:rRNA from 5 species